GUGCCAAUGCAAUUCCAGUGUCCUGCAGAUCCACAUAACACGGAUCCUGCAGACAGAAUGUGACACACAGCCACAAAGCCGCAGCCCAGCUCCUGCCAAUGGGUUUGGGAAGGCAGAGCUGAGGUCAGCUUGGUGUGCGUUCUGCUGACGACACGGAGGGACAUCAGCCCACUGUCCUUGUUUGCACCAGGCAGAGCCCGAGGUCCUGCUCUUUGUCACUGCUGUCAGCAAAACAGACUUCAAGCAUACACAGGGAGCACAGAUGCUGAAUAAGAACGCCAUUUUUACCUGGCUUUCAGAGCAGCGUGCUUUGUUCCCUUUGGAAUGGUGUCACCAGGGUGUCAUGGAGCAGCAGUGGGUGCAGGAACGUGUGCUGUUGGGGACCCCGAGCCAUUGCAUUCCUGGCUCAAACCAAAGGGGAUCCCCCUGACCCACACUGUGACCCCAGCAGGACCUCACCAUGUGACAGGACAUCCCUGUGUGACACCAC
rnacentral:lncRNA from 1 species